CAAUAGCGUAUAUUAAAGUUGUUGCAGUUAAAAAGCUCGUAGUUGGAUUUCUGGACUGGUCGGCCGGUCCGCGACAUGUUCGUGUGUACCUGGUGUGAUUAGUCCAUCCUUGAUGGGAACUAUGGUCACCGUUAAUUCGGUGCUGUAGGGAACAUCAUCGUUUACUGUGAGAAAAAUAGAGUGUUUAAAGCAGGCGUUUGCUCUGAAUACGUUAGCAUGGAAUAAUAAGAUAGGACUUUGGUGCUAUUUUGUUGGUUUCGAGUACCGAAGUAAUGAUUAAUAGGGAUAGUCAGGGGCACUUGUAUUCCGUUGAGAGAGGUGAAAUUCUUAGACCAAUGGAAGACAAACUACUGCGAAAGCAUUUCCCAGGGAUGUUUUCACUGAUCAAGAACGAAAGUUAGGGGAUCGAAGACGAUCAGAUACCAU
rnacentral:rRNA from 1 species